GAAAUCUGGCACUUUCAGUGUCCGAGUUGUAAUUUGAAGAAGGUAUCUUUGGGUCUGGCUCUUGUCUAUGUUUCUUGGAACAGAACGUCACAGAGGGUGAGAAUCCCGUGCGAUGAGAUGUCCCAGACCUAUGUAAAGUUCCUUCGAAGAGUCGAGUUGUUUGGGAAUGCAGCUCUAAGUGGGUGGUAAAUUCCAUCUAAAGCUAAAUAUUGGCGAGAGACCGAUAGCGAACAAGUACAGUGAUGGAAAGAUGAAAAGAACUUUGAAAAGAGAGUGAAAAAGUACGUGAAAUUGUUGAAAGGGAAGGGCUUGAGAUCAGACUUGGUAUUUUGUAUGUUACUCUCUCGGGGGUGGUCUCUACAGUUUACCGGGCCAGCAUCAGUUUGAGCGGUAGGAUAAGUGCAAAGAAAUGUGGCACUGCUUCGGUAGUGUGUUAUAGUCUUUGUCGAUACUGCCAGCUUAGACUGAGGACUGCGGCUUCGGCCUAGGAUGUUGGCAUAAUGAUCUUAAGUCGCCCGUCUUGAAACAGGACC
rnacentral:rRNA from 1 species